rnacentral:rRNA from 1 species
UACAGAGGUCUCAAGCGUUGUUCGGAUUCAUUGGGCGUAAAGGGUGCGUAGGUGGCGUCGUAAGUCAGGUGUGAAAUUUCGGAGCUUAACUCCGAAACUGCAUUUGAUACUGCGGUGCUUGAGGACUGGAGAGGAGACUGGAAUUUACGGUGUAGCAGUGAAAUGCGUAGAGAUCCGGAAGAACACCGGUGGCGAAGGCGGCCUGCUGGGCAGUAGCUGACGCUGAUGCGCGACAGCGUGGGGGAGCAAACAGG